GGGGGGGGCAAGCGUUGUUCGGAAUUACUGGGCGUAAAGGGCGCGUAGGCGGCCUGCUAAGUCGGACGUGAAAUCCCUCGGCUCAACCGGGGAACUGCGUCCGAUACUGGUGGGCUCGAAUCCGGGAGAGGGAUGUGGAAUUCCAGGUGUUGCGGUGAAAUGCGUAGAUAUCUGGAGGAACACCGGUGGCGAAGGCGGCAUCCUGGACCGGUAUUGACGCUGAUGCGCGAAAGCCAGGGGAGCAAACGGGAUUAGAUACCCCGGUAGUCCUGGCCCUAGACGAUGAGUGCUUGGUGUGGCGGGUAUCGAUCCCUGCCGUGCCGAAGCUAACGCAUUAAGCACUCCGCCUGGGGAGUACGGUCGCAAGGCUG
rnacentral:rRNA from 1 species